rnacentral:rRNA from 1 species
GACGGAGGAUGCAAGUGUUAUCCGGAAUCACUGGGCGUAAAGCGUCUGUAGGUGGUCAAAUAAGUCAACUGUUAAAUCUUGAGGCUCAACCUCAAAAUCGCAGUCGAAACUAUUCGACUAGAGUAUAGUAGGGGUAAAGGGAAUUUCCAGUGGAGCGGUGAAAUGCGUAGAGAUCGGAAGGAACGCCGGUGGCGAAAGCGGCACGCUGGACCUCUUCUGACGCUGAGGCGCGAAAGCCAGGGGAGCAAACGGG